GGAAGGAUCAUUCACACAUGUCUCACUUGCUACCUAACAACCAUGAACUUGUGUCUGCUUUUCUUUGCCAGUACCUCACCUCAGUGGUGGUCUGGUUCGGAAGAGUGGGCGAAAAGGUGCACUCCCUUUUUAGGUGGUUUUUAUCGUAGCCUUUAUUCAUAAACUUUCAGCAAUGGACGUCUUGGUUCCCAAUUCGAUGAAGGACGCAGCGAAUUGCGAUAAGCAGUGCGAAUUGCAGAAAUCUGUGAACCAUCAGACCUCUGAACGCAUACGGCACUUGGGAGAUUCGUUCUCACGGUGUGUUUGGCUCAGUGUCUCGUUUUAUUUCAUCCCGCUCGUUGUAUUGGCGUCGAACUUCGAAUGUAGUUCCGUCGCCGUUGAAAUGCAAGUUGUCAUCCACGAAAGGGUUGGGGUUGGUUCCAUUUCAAUUUGCGGAGCAGCUCAUUCUCAUUUCAAAGUGACCUGAGCUCAAGCAAGGCAACCCGCUGAAUUUAAGCAUAUAAUUAAGCGGAGGAAAAGAAACUAAGCAGGAUUCUCUUAGUAGUGGCGAAUGAACAGGGAACAGCCCAAAAUGAAUAUCACGUGCUUUAUGUGUGUGAAUUGUAGUCUGAAGAAGUGCUUCCAGUGGACGUCGCAGAGAAAAGUCUCUUGGAAGAGAACGCCAGAGAGGGUGAGAGUCCCGUCGCUGUUCUGCAGUGCGUCUACAUACGGAGUGCUUUCUUAGAGUCGCGUUUCUUGGGAGUGAAACGCUAAGUGGGUGGUAAACUUCAUCUAAGGCUAAAUAGUUAUGGGAAACCGAUAGCAAAUAAGUACCUUGAGGGAAAGAUGAAAAGAACUUUGAAAAGAGAGUUAAAAUUCCCCGAAAUUGCUGAAAAGGAAGCGGUUGAAAUGCUAGUGUACAUCCAGGGAUAAACGCUGUUUUGAUGUAGCAGAUCAGCGCAUGCACUUAACGGCAUGUUUUGCGUCUGCAGCAUUCCGAGCGGCUGUUUCUCCAGGGGGACUCAGUUACGGUUGGUGCUAUUGCGUGGAUUGGGUUAAACGGGCGUGCUCUUUGGAGCCGUCGCUGUUGCCUCUUGCAUCGAAUGGUGGCCGACUGAGGGUUGCGCGAUCCAGGGUUCUGGACUCGCCGCGUAGCUGAUCGACGAAUUUCCACCGGCCCGUCUUGAAACACGGAUCAAGGAGUCCAACAUAUAUGCGUGUCCGCGGGGAGACAAUCCUGUGGGCGCAAUGAAAGUGAACGGUUCCGCCCGGAACGACCGACCACAAUCGCCGAGAGAGGUUUGAGUACGAGCAUAUCUGUUGGGACCCGAAAGAUGGUGAACUAUUCCUGAAUAGGGUGAAGCCAGGGGAAACCCUGGUGGAGGCUCGUAGCGAUACUGACGUGCAAAUCGUUCGUCAAAUUUGGGUAUAGGGGCGAAAGACUAAUCGAACCAUCUAGUAGCUGGUUCCCUC
rnacentral:misc_RNA from 1 species